CACUUAUUUGGUGCAUAUUUCAUAUUGACAAUCAACACGUACAGUGACAGAAAAAGAAACCUCUCAUGCUUGCACUCUCCAAUCCAACUUCACAAUCUGAGUGCACAGCUGAAGAAGCUUAUACAUUGCAUGGAGCAAGACAACUUCACAAUACAACUUCUCUCAAAAUGGCGACGCCGAUUUUCUCUUCACCACCACACGACAACGAAAUCAGACAGAUUUGACGUUGUAGCCUUUUCAUCUUGUACUUGUUUCUGGACUCAGACUGUUGGAUUAACAUUUGAAUAUCAGAGUCUUCAGCUUUGGUGCAGAGGCAACUUCAGUCAACAGACUAUGGAAGUGCUUUGGAGCGUGAUACCAUCAGAUCUUCAGAGCUUGCUUCUGACUGCCAUCUUCUGAUGCUUUCCAGACCAUGUUCUGAUUUCUUCAAGACCAUCUUCUGAUGUCUGAAAAAUCAUGUUCUGAUGAAGCCAUCCAGAACUUCUGGGUCAGUGCUUCUGAACGCUGAUUUUGUGCAUACUCUUUUAGACUUUUCAUGAAAUGGAAAAUGUGAAUAAUUAGAGUACCACAUUGUCUUAUACAAAAUUCAUAUAUAAUGUUAUCAUCAAAACUAAGAAUAUUGAUCAGAACAUUUCUUGUUCUAACACAUAACAUUAUAUAUUUGCAUUUGUGAUUGAUUAUUGUUUUGAAUUAAUAUAUGUGAUUGAAGAAUAAUGUUAUUGAACUAUCCUUGUUGUUAUA